rnacentral:rRNA from 1 species
AUUGAACGCUGGCGGCAGGCUUAACACAUGCAAGUCGAAAGCGUGGCGGAAGGGUGAGUAAUGCUUGGGAAUCUAGCUUAUGGAGGGGGAUAACUACGGGAAACUGUAGCUAUUCCCGCGAACCAUAGGAUGAGCCCAAGUGGGAUGAGGUAUGUGGUGAGGGAAAGGCUCACCAAGCCGACAAUCUCUAGCUGGUCUGAGAGGAUGACCGGCCACAAGUGGACUGAGACACGGCCCAGACUCCUACGGGAGGCAGCUGUGGGGAAUAUUGCGCAAUGGGGGAAACCUGACGCAGCCAUGCCGCGUGAAUGAAGAAGGCCUUCGGGUUGUAAAGUUCUUUCGUUAGGGAGGCGUUAACUACAGAAGAAGCACCGGCUAACUCCGUGCCAGCAGCCGCGGUAAUUC